GACGUAGGUGGCGAACGUUAUCCGGAAUUAUUGGGCGUAAAGGGUGCGUAGGCGGCAUAAUAAGUUAUUGGCGGGGAAAUCGAGGCUCAACCUCGUGGAAACUGAUAAUACUGUUUUGCUUGAGUACAGGAGAGGUUAACGGAACUCCAUGUGGAGCGGUAAAAUGUGUAGAUAUAGUGGAAGAACAUCAAUAACGGCGAAGGCAGUUAACUAUUCUGUUACUGACGUGAGGCACGAAAGCGUGGGGAGCAAAAAGG
rnacentral:rRNA from 1 species